ACGAUGCGACUUAAAAAUAGUCGCUUCCUUUAAACAGGCAUAUGCUGCUGAGUUAUUUGCGCUUUCCUGCGGUUGAUAAACACAAAUUCGCCACAGUGUUCACAAAAAGAUACUAAAAAGUGCAUAAAUUGUUGCCAUGGCAAAAUUGGAAUGCCCCUUAUGCUGCAAGCCACACUUUAAUGACUUGGAAGCACUGAGGACUACAUUAGUAGCAGCUACAACCACGGAAAUCCAGUGCCCAGUGUGUCAUGAAACCCAGCGAGGAUUGGAUAAGUUUACUAUUCAUCUGUUUACACAUUUGGCAAACACGGAUGAAGAGAUUCAUGUACCAGAAACAAAACCAAACUUAAUUCAAGCUGCCACAGUACCGACAGUACCAAAUUUUGAAGCACCGAAAAUUUCUGAGGAAAUGCCAUGUCCUGAUAUUUCAACGCGUGAUGGUCCGUCGGUAGCUACGGUUGUUGCGGCUGGAAUAGAAGAGCAAAUUACCAAUGUUCAGAAUGUGCUAGCAAACGAGCAACGUACAAUUCGUUGUGAUAUUUGUAAUUUUACAUUUUCGGACGAGAAUAUCCUGGAUAUGCAUCUGAAGUUAUUGCAUCAGACUUUGGAGGAUAAACAAACUGGUCUAUACAGCUACCAUUGUCAUUUAUGCAGCAAAAAGUUUAAAAUGAAAGGAAGUCUUAUGGUGCAUCUACGUGUAGCUCAUUAUGGAUUUGGACAUAACAACAAAACUGAACUCGAUCUGGUAGCAAGUCUCAAUAAGUUCAAGAAAAAUGAAGCAGCCAAAAAUGACGAGCAGCCAAAAAAAUGGUCCUGUGAUGUUUGCCAAAAACUGUUUACCACGAAAUAUUUUUUAAAGAAACACAAACGUUUGCAUACAGGUGAAAUGCCGUAUUUUUGCGCACAAUGCAACAAAUAUUUCACUUUUCAACAAACCUACCGUAAACAUAUGUUGUACCAUUCUUCGGAAAAACCGCACGUGUGUCAAGAAUGCGGGCGCGCGUUUAAAGAACUCUCGACGCUACACAAUCACGAGAGGAUACAUUCAGGAGAGCGACCAUUUGCCUGCGAAUUUUGUGGAAAGUGUUUCAGACAGAGAGUUUCUUAUCUGGUACAUAAAAGGAUUCAUACUGGAGUUUUACCUUACAAAUGUACUGCUUGUGGCAAAUCAUAUCGGUAUAAAGUGAGCCAAAGAUCGCACAAGUGCACAGCAAUGCCACCGGGGGACGUUAUCAAAACUCCAACGCCAUCACCUGCUACAUCGUCUCCCACAACAGCAACAACUCAUGAAUCAGAUAGGGAUAACUUAAAUUUGAGUUUGAAUCAAGUUAAUAUAGUGUUCAAUACGGAUGGGCAAAUUAUUGGUCAGAAUUUUACUUUUGAUGGGCAAAAUUUAAUAACAUUUAAUAAUAGUUUUCCUAGUGGGUCACAUGACACUCAAGUAGUUGAUUGUAAAUCAAUUGUUGUUAAUGAGAAGGAAAAAGAAAAAGUUGGCGAAUUCUACUCAUUAAUAGGAACUGUUGGGAAUGAAGUUAGUAGUGAAGUUACAGCGCUGACGACACACACGUCUAAUAUGUCAAUUAGUUGUAACAAAAUGUUAAGUGCUACAAUGGAUACUCAAGAAGUAUCUACAAGCGAUAAGUUACAAACCAUAAAUGAAGAGUCUUUAAAACAAUUACUGUACGGCGCUGUAAAUCAAUAAAAUAUUUGGACAAAAGAAAAAAGAUAAAAACCUUGCUUCAAAGUUAAUAAAUUUUUAAAUGACUGUAUUAACUUAUUUUUUAAUUCUAGGAUGAAGUUCAUCAGGAUUAUCAAUCGGCUUUGAAACAACUUCAGGAACUCUGCAACAGUCAGAUUGAGUUGGAAACUGAAAGAAACGCUCUACAAGAGGAAACUCGGAAGAGUAUUCAUGAACAUGCUAAUAUACACACGGAAUUGACAAAUUUGAAACUGAUCAAUGAUAAACUGCGCACCAGUCAAAUCAAACCACUUGGCAUGUAUCAAGCUGCCGAAAAACAGUAUGCACCUGCUUCAAAAAACUACGAAGCAGUUAGAUUGAAAUUGAAAGAAAUGAGGCAAAAACACGACGAGUUAUUAACACAAAUUGUUGAAGAGGAUAAAAUAUUUCUGGAAAAGUAUAAAGAUUUUAUUGCUGAAAAGUCUUCCGAUAAUUUGGAAGCUAUGGUUAAAAAAGAACUAACACUUAAUCAAGAACUAAUCCGAACAAAGGAGGAAUUAAUAAAGAAGAAAAUUCCAUUGGAAAUGCACGUGAAGGAAUUGUCCGCGGAGUCUGAUUCUAUGAAUAUAGAUGAUAUGAUUCAUCCAAAAAUGUUGAAAAUGUUUAAUGAGGAUAAUUUGAGGAGCGAUAUUACAAAGAAUCGUCAAUCAAUAUUAGUAGUUCGAAAACAAAUGGCGUUUUUCAAAAAAUCAACUAAAAUUAACAAGCCAUAACAAAGAAAUUAAAUAUUUCAAUAUAAGUAUGUUAAUUGAUUUCCAGAAAAACAUUGCGGAAAUCUAUAUUAAUUUAUAAUUGUUAUUACUGAGAAUUAUUUAUGUUUUUCAUUUUGGCAAAGUACUUUCAGAAUUUUUUCAAUAAUUUGAUUUAAACAACUGUUAAAUCAGGAUUAUAUAUUAAUUGGUAGCAAAACAUGCUUUUUUGUUUGCAAUAUAAAUUUCUUUCGAUCCUU